UACGUAGGUGGCAAGCGUUAUCCGGAAUUAUUGGGCGUAAAGAGCGCGCAGGUGGUUGAUUAAGUCUGAUGUGAAAGCCCACGGCUUAACCGUGGAGGGUCAUUGGAAACUGGUCGACUUGAGUGCAGAAGAGGGAAGUGGAAUUCCAUGUGUAGCGGUGAAAUGCGUAGAGAUAUGGAGGAACACCAGUGGCGAAGGCGGCUUCCUGGUCUGUAACUGACACUGAGGCGCGAAAGCGUGGGGAGCAGACAGGAUUAGA
rnacentral:rRNA from 1 species